rnacentral:misc_RNA from 1 species
CAGGACUCGCAAGACUCCCGUAAACCACUGUGAACGUUACCUACAGUCGUUGCCUCGGCGGGCUGCCUCGGACGCGAGUCCGGGGCGCUCCAGCCCGCCGGUGGCCCCCUAUAACUCUUCUGUUUUUGCCCAUGGCAUCUCGGAGUAAACGCAAACGAAUCA